UACGUAGGUGGCAAGCGUUGUCCGGAUUUACUGGGCGUAAAGGGCGUGCAGGCGGUUUGUUAAGUUCAGGGUGAAAGCUCCCGGCUCAACUGGGAGAGGUCCUUGGAUACUGGCAGACUUGAGGAGGGUAGAGGAGAGUGGAAUUCCCGGUGUAGUGGUGAUAUGCGUAGAUAUCGGGAGGAACACCAGUGGCGAAGGCGGCUUUCUGGUCUGCUCUUGACGCUGAGGCGCGAAAGCUAGGGUAGCAAACGGG
rnacentral:rRNA from 1 species